rnacentral:lncRNA from 1 species
AGAGGACUCUUGAGGUCCUUCAAAACAAAUGUCUGCCUUUGACCCGAGUCACCUGUCAAUCAAGGCUUCCAGACCUUCUGGAACACACUGAUUUGGAACAAGCUUCCUAUCCAUCGGGAUAAUGGAAUGACCAGACAAAACCUCCUUCAGAUGUGCUGACCCUCUCAGCAUCUCAAAUCCAAUGAAUGCAGCCAUCAAGGAAGCACAGUUCACAGGGGCUGGCAUGGAUGGGGAUACACGCUUACCUAAAGGUGCAGAUGUGGACCAAGUACCUCCUCAUGCCCCAGAAUGCAUCACGGCAUGUUUAGCAGGCUUCCUCAUUUCCUGCUGCUGUCCCUUUGGCCCAGACUUCUCAUGGAUCCAGGGCAUUCACCCUCUUCCUACAUGGUCCAGGAACCUCAAGAGGUCGGAUUUCAGAACGAAUAGGAAGCCACAAGAAUCUUGCAGCAUGCAAACCCAGCUGGAGUGGAGUCAAUGGUGGAUUCCCUUCUGCAGAUGCCUCUUUUCAGCCCAAGUACAGUCAAUUCCGCGCAGCUUGGAUCUUGGAGCCUCGAGAGCUGUCCACACAAAUCCGUUCAAACAGGAAAAGCCAGCAUGCUGGCCUCUGGCUUGCAUCUCAGAGCUUUGAACUAUCAGUUUGCCCGCCAAGAACGUGUUCCGAAUGGCUGUUUUGCGUGGCAGGGGAGAGCUCUUGCAGACUCAGAAUCUACAUCACUACCAGAAAAUGGGAAGCGCCUGGUGAUUUUGGAAGUAAAUCCUUCCAGACUUAAUUUCUUAGGACCACGUGACAUCCCACACUACAAAGAGCACAUUUUAGCUGUUGAGUGUGGAGCAGGCAGCAAGAACCACUUCUACCAGCUUCGGCUGCCCUGAAAGCAGGCAUUGCUGUGGGAGGAGGGCCAGGGCAGGAGGUUUGCUUGGAAAGAGGAAGGUUCCUGUGGGGAAAGAGGAUGGAGAGACAGGGCCUGGGCUAGGUCUUGUGACUGGAGCUCUGGAACUCUUGGAGGAGCAGUGGUUUCCUAGGGACUUGAGGGCAGGGGUGGGGUGUCUAUCCUUUGACUACAUCUUUCAGUGUCCCUGGCUGCAAAUCUCUAGUACUUUCUGAGCUAUUCAAGCGAGAACUAAACAGCCUCCUACAGUGAGCAAAUACCCAUAGGAAAGGAGGGAGCGAGGGUGUCAGAGGUGGACAUGCACAAGUACUAUCCAAGGACACAGUGUGGGGCACAUGUGGGGGCAGUUCUGGGUCUCCAAAAUAAAAGGCUGGAGACACACCA